UAUUGCAUAUUACUUGUCUUUUUAAAUAUUGUAGUGAAAGUAUUAUACUGAAUUAUUUUUAAUUAUGAGUAUAGAUGGUAUAUGUUAUGCACAACAUUUAUUUCAAUUGUAAAGUGCAGGUUAAUGUUAUUUAAUAUAUGCCAAGGGGAGCAGGGGUCUGUAAGGAUGAGUGUCAGUGAGAUAGGCAAAGUAGGGAGGAAGAACCUUUUAGGCAGCACUUCUAGAACUUUAAUGUGUACAUGAGUCACCAGGGGAUCUUGUUCAAAUGUGGCUACUGCUUCAGUGGUUCUGGGGUGAAGCCUGAGAGUCUGCAUUUCCAACAAGCCCUCAGGUGAUGCUGAUGCUGCUGGUUCCUGGGUCACAUUUUGAGUAGCAAAGUUCUAGACAGAGGGGAUUACAGGUGCAAAGGCUUGAAGGUUUGGUAGAGUUUUUCUGGGAAACAACCAGUGACUUGGCAUAAUCAGAACAUAAAAUGCAAAGCGUUACAUGAGGGUUGAUGAGGCAGUCAAGGGAGGCAGGGUCAGAGCACUCAGGACCUGAAUCCUGUGUUUGGGCUUCGUUUUGUAGACCAUGGAGCACGCUACAAUGAUUCUAAGUGGAGUUCUAUAAUUUAGAUCUCUCUGCCACCAUGUGGGAUGGCUUUGCUGGACACGGGGAGUCCAUUGAAGAAGCUUUUCCAAUUAUGUUGCCAAGAAGUAAGAAGGACCUGAACUGAGGAAGCCACAGUAAGAAAGGAGGGAAGAAGAUAAGCUUGUUUUUUUAGAGUUCAACUUCCUGAGUGUUGGAGAUUGAUUGAGUGAACUGUGAAGAGGAAGGAGGUCAAGGAUGACUUUAGAAAAGUCAGAAAAGUGUCGUGUAAGAUUCACAUAGAAAUAAGGACAAUCACAAGAGUUGCACAAGAGUUGAUAUUGGAGACUGGAAUGCUACUCAAAGAACAGAAUUCCCCCAAACAUCCAAGAUGGUCCUGAGCAACUGAAUUAUCUUAACAUCAGCUUAGCAGUAGAGUGCCGUUAGGUAACUCUGGUAAGUGUAUACGUGUAAUCUGCUUCAAUAGUCCUAUUCCCACCAGCCAACUGCCCUUCCCACCUUUUAUUAGCUUUUUGUUACAGCUGUCUCAUAGCUUUUGCCCACUUCUAAUUUCAGUAUACGCAAUGGCUUUUCACAACAUCUACAGCUGACUUUCUCUCUGGGUAUCUUCUGUUUCUGCUCCAUCUUCCUAAUGCUCAAACCAAUUAAUGUAAUGGUUUACAUUUAAUGGUAAUACAUUAAAUGUAAAAACAAACAAACAAACAAACAAAAAAACCACCCAAAGAGGGCAUAUCAUUCCUUCAGUUUAUUUUGACACAGAUUUUGUGCCAUGCUAUUCAUAAAGCACCAGCCAGAAUACAUGUUGUUUGCCUUUGAGCUCACUUCCCACUUUUGGCAAGGCUGGCUGUUGUUCUGUAGCAGGAUAACAUAGCUGAAGAAUUGAGGUAUGUCAGCUUAAGGAUUCACCAUGGUCGGGCUCCUCUGCAGAAGACCAAGGAAGUGUGUCAUGGGCAUUCUGACCCUUACCCUCUUCAGAAUAGCCCCACUAACAUGUCAGAAACUGAUUCCUUUCGAAGGAUAAACAAAUGGUAUAACCAGAAAAGGCUUUGAAGGCUUUGCAACGAACCCCAAAUUAUAAGUAGUUACAUAGAAAUUUAAAGAACGGAAUCUCUGUUUGGAUAGAUGUCCUUUGUAAUGCAGGUAUCCUUUUUUAUUUAUUGUCCUUUCCUUUUUUUUUUUUUUAAGUUUUGUAUUUCAGUCACAGUGGUUUCAGUUACACAUACCUCUCAGUUCAUAUUCCACCAUUGCUACUGGUACAUACAAAGCCUCCUUAGUCCUUUAGUGCUACUGUAACAAAAUAACAAUGUCUAGGUAAUUUAUAAAGAACAGAAUUUUAUUUCUCUCAGUCCUGGAGGCUGGGAGUCCGGGAUACAGAGUCCAGCAGGUUUGGUGUCUGGUAAGAACUUGGUCUCUGUUUCCAAGAUGGUGCCUGUUGCUUUGUCCUCUGGAGGGGAUAAUGCUGUGUCCCCACAUGGUGGAAGGGGUGGGAGAACAAAAGGGUGCUUCCUCCAACCUUGAGGUCUAAAGGGCCUAAUGCUAAUACCAGCUUUUAGGACGAAGCCCUCAUGACUUAACUACCUCUUAAAGGCCAUGCUUCUUAAUACUGUUGCACGGGGGGGCAUGAAAACAUUUAAGCCCUAGCACCUCCCUUGAUUGGUUGAUUGAUUGGAAUCCUUUUCACAAUCUCUGAUAGGGUUUUAACCUACUGCCGGAACUUACUAGCUCAUAAUGGCAACAACUGAUUUCAUAUAUUGAACUUGCUACUUCUUAGGUCAUUGUUUCAUACGUUAAACCAAAAAUAACUUUCCCCUAAUGUCUGCAGUUCUUUCUUGCAGAAUCAUAGAGAAAAUGUCUAUUUCUUCCCUCAACACAAUAGCCUUUCAACCCUAUAAGGUUGGCUAUUAAUAUACCUGAGCCUUCACUCUUCUAUGUGAAACACAUUUUGUUAUUUCAUCAAUUCUUCAUAUGAUGUGAAUUUAAGGCACUUUACUACCUAGUCACUUUCCCUCAGACACACUCUAGUUUGAUAAUUUCUUUUUAAAAAUAUACAUAUCAAAUAUUUUAAAUAUGCUCUGCCAAUGCAGAACAUGAUGGGUGCAACCUUGCCCCUCCCUUCCCUAGUUUUGGUUUUUAUAAAUGUAUCCUAAAAUUUGUGUCAGUCUUUUUGGAAAUAAUAUCGCAUUUUUGACUCUCAUUGAACUUCAAAUUUUUUUCAAGUGAACUCCUGUCAAUUCAGAGCUUUCCUACCUUAUAUUUAAGUAGUUGAUUCUUUGAACUUAGAUGCAGAACUUAACAUUUAACACUAUUAAAUUGUAUAUAGUUAAUUUCAUUCCAUCCUUCUCCUUUUCCAAGGUCUUUUCAAAUUCGAUUCUUUAAUAUUGUUUAUCAGCUUUACCGCCAACUUUUAGUCAUGUAAAACUUGAUAGGCAAAGUUUUUAUUGGAAUUCACCCAAUUCACUUAUUAAGAUGUUUACGAUUUUAGACUAGAAGACAAAGAAUCACUUUUAGUAGUGGCUCUCAAUUUUUGUGUACAAAAUAAUUAACUAGGACAUUUGCUAAAUUUGCAGGCCCCUAAGUCCCAUUUCUAGAAAUUUUGAUUUAAUAAGUCUGGGAUGUGAUUCCGGGAAUGUGCAUUUUUAACUAGCACCACAUUUGAUCCUGAUGCUUUUUGUCCUUGGCCACGCCUUUAGAAAUAUCUUCAAAAUUUUCCUUUUGGUCUAAAUUGACAUUAACAUGUUCAUUAAUUGUAAUAGAGUGCUGUGUCUUCUUAGCACAGUGCUGGACACAUGAUUAAUACUGAAGGAAUGACUGAACCAAAGAAAGAAUGAAGGGUGGAAGCAGUGUUCAGCUAAUAAUUCAGCUGUAUGUAUUCAUUUUUGUCACAAAGCCAAUAUGAUCAGCUUUUUAGUGCUUUGUUGUAAUUGAAUUAUAUUAUGUCUUUGAUGUUCCGCACUGGGGGAAAAAAAGAGACGUAUUUUGUGUGACCUUUUCUUAAUGAACAUAUGUUGUCUCUUAGUGAUCAUUGCUUUCCUUUCUAAGUGCUCACAAAUCAUGUGUUUAAUUCUGCUGUCUAGAAUUUCAUUGAGAAUUAAAAGGUGUAUCAUAUUUAAACCUGGAAAUCUCCCUUUAUGAGCUCUUGCUUUACUUUAAGAAAUUAGGGCACAGGCAUAGUGUUUUACUUAUUUACUAUGCUUUAGGCUAUGUUAGUUCUUUCAUGUCUUAAUAUGUUUGCAGAUAAAUAAGAACCCAAGUACUGGACACUUUGACAAAAAAAAAAAAUUCUUACUUUUUCCUAGAAUUUAUACUUAUAAAAACUUUCAAAAUCUACAGAAAGACUCAAAGAAUAUUACAAUGUUCUUAAUCUAGGGCAACAAUUGUUAGCAUUUUGCUGUAUUUUUUUUUUAUAUCUAGCAAGAUAUAUAGCUAGCUAGAUUUUCCCUUCCCCUGUCUCCUGAACCAGUCAUUUAGUCUCCUUUAGUCCAGAACAAUUUCUCUGCACUGCUUUCUGCUUUUCAGGAUGGAUGCCUGAAUUCUCUGAUUAUACUUCUUGGUUUUGUCUGUCUGUUUAGUUUAGUUUUGGCUUUUGAACCAUGUGACAUUUUACAUGUUCAAAAAAUAAAAUUAAAGAGGAUUAAAAAUAGUAAAUUUUAAAAUUUGCUCCUAAAGGAGAACUGGGCUGGUAUAUCACAGUGUUCAUCACCAAUUUUAGGGAAACCAGAGAAGGCUGAUCCAAAGUACAGAGGAGAAGGAAGGAAGGCUGGGUGGAAGAAUACUAGACCACUCUGAAGGUUCAGGAAAACUCAGCAAGGUCAUCAGGGACUUCUCCAGAUAAAAAGCAGCUAUCAGAUCAGUCCCCUGCUCCCAGCAAGAGGCCUGCCCCAGUAAUCCCGCUGGCUCUGUUACCAGCUGAGAGCAGCCAGGGCAAGGCGCCGCCCACGCGGUGCAAUGCAGCCAUGGAUUUCAGAUCUCAGCCGGGGGUCUGUGGGAGGUGACUCUCAGGGCUGUCAAGUCAGGGUCCAGCCCCUUUCAGAGGGUGGCCGUCUUUUGAUUGAUUGCAGGGGACCCAUCUGUAGCCCCAACUCAGGAAAGUUGUGGUGGGUCCCCACUGAGGCUCUGUCAAGACUUCAUCACAGCUCGACCUCUUGCUCUGCUCUGCUCAGUCCUGCUUCCUUCCCUUCGCUGGACCCAUCUGUAGCCCCAACUCAGGAAAGUUGUGGUGGGUCCCCACUGAGGCUCUGUCAAGACUUCAUCACAGCUCGACCUCUUGCUCUGCUCUGCUCAGUCCUGCUUCCUUCCCUUCGCUGCCCCUGUGGCUGAUUUUAAGUGCACCCUCUAAUAAGCCGCCUGCGUGCCCACCUGCCAGCACUGCUCCAAGCUCUUAUUACCCUGUUAACACCUAUGCAAUCCUCACAACGCUGAGGUGGGUGCUGUUAGCAUCUUCAUUUUAUGCAUAAGGAAGCUAAGGAACAGAAACUGGCUAAGUGGCUGCCCGAAGGUAUUCAUGCCCCUGGGAGGUAGCAAAGGCUUGCCUCAAACAUAGGCAUGCUGACUCCCUGCCGCCCCCUUACCUGCCACUCACUGCUCUUCUCCGUGACACAGAGAUUGCUGUUAGCAUACCCAGUAUCGCAGUCCUAUUAUAUUUUCCAGAUGCUUUCCUAAGCAAAUACCAGAAAAACUUCCCGGAGAUUCAGCGUAGGAGGAGAUCUGCCCUGAUUGUGUGAAGGCAGUUCCAACCUGAAUCUAUUUAUCCGCAGGGCCUUAGCUCCAGCCCGGAGAACUGGCUUCACCCUCUAAGCUGCAUUCCCCAGCACUCAGUUUUUCUCUGGCAACGUGAUACACCUGCCACUACCAUUCUGCAAAAGGAAGGAAUAUGUACAGCACAAAUAACAAAGUGAGAAAUAAAUACUCUCCUCUUCCCUAAGACAAGAGCUAGUUCUUGCUUCCUGACCUAUUUGAGUGCGUAUUCAGAGCUUGCAUGACGCAGCUAAACUAGCCUAUUUAGCAUUUAUGCAUCUGCUCGGUGCUCCGCAAGCUCUUUAAGAUGUGGCAUUUAAAAAUCUUCAUAACGCAAGGUCACAAUAGCCAUUUCUAUAGGGAGACUGAGGAAUUAUCAAGACUACAGUUGGAAUUUAGGGUGGGGAAGUCCUUCCACUCCGAUGAGCUUCUCAGGCGUUGGAAGGAUAGCCAAUUGUCCUAGUUUUCCUUGGGGCUAAGUUUCCCAGGAUGUGGGACUUUCUUCCCUGAAACUGGGAGAGUCACAGGUAAAGGGCAACAAUUGGUCACCCUACAAUGGGCUUUAUGGCCCACAUUGCUAUGUUACAGAAAUGCCUGCCGCUCUACUGUAACUACUUUGUAUUAUUAUUUUUUAAAUGCUUUUUUUUUAAUUAAUCUAGGAAAUUCCUUAUAGAAACUAUGGAGAUAAACAAAGGAAAAACUAAAAACCACUCAGUAGCUCAUUAUGCAGAGGUCACUCUUUAAACCUUUCAACAUCUUCUGUGGUUUUUUUUUUUUUUUU